AAGAAAAAAGGGGUGAAACCCUAGUCCUCAAGAAAGCUUCAAAUUGAUAAGGAAAUUAGGCUCAAAUCCAAUGCAUGAACUUGAUUCCUUGGCCAUCUAGCCCUAACAAACUUACGAAUAGGAACCACACUAACACGGACCAAGUAUGGAAAGCUAACGGGUCAAGCGGAAGCGAGGGAGCAAGUAUGGACACUAACGCUUAAGGUUCUCCAUCGAGGUUCGCUAAGGAUUAGACACCCGGAUGGAAUGACUAUAUCUAGAAAGACAACGGGAUGGAAA